GAUGAAGAACGUAGCGAAAUGCGAUACUUGGUGUGAAUUGCAGAAUCCCGUGAACCAUCGAGUCUUUGAACGCAAGUUGCGCCCGAAGCCACUAGGCCGAGGGCACGCCUGCCUGGGCGUCACACGUCGUUGCCCCCCACCAUCUACUCCUUCGGGAUUGCGGGGGGCGGAUGAUGGCCUCCCGUGCGCCUAGCCGCGCGGUUGGCAUAAAUACCAAGUCCUCGGCGACGCACGCCACGACAAUCGGUGGUUGCGAAACCUCGGUUGCCCGUCGUGUGCGUUCGUCGCGCAUCGAGGGCUCGAAAACAUGCUCGGCUCCGGCUCGGCUUUCAACGCGACCCCAGGUCAGGCGGGGUUACCCGCUGAAUUUAAGCAUAUCAAUAAGCGGAGGA
rnacentral:misc_RNA from 1 species